UGUCAAAGUCAAAAGUAAUCUUAAAUUUAUUGGUUACAAAAUAUAUAAUCUUUUCUCAUUAUAAUUAAGUGUUAAUUAGACAAAUCGCUUUUUCGCGACUUGAAUGGAAAAAUAAUAUGUCAAAGCAUCAUAAUAAAGUGAAUUUUCCUGAUCGGAAAUAAUUGAUUUUUUGUAAAUUAAAUUUUCACUUUUACUCAUUGCUAAUAUGUUAACUGCAUAAUUCUAAGAACUCGGAACAUGUUUUCGUUGAUAUUAUUAGCCUCUGCUUUACUACUAAAUCAUACCAACUGCUUCAUCAUCGAUAUUUUAACAGCUAAAAAAAAUAAGGAAAUCAAUCUUAAUGUAAUUGAUCCUUCAAAGGUCCCACUUGCUGAAAGCCAUAGAAAUAGACCAAAUGAUGUCUUAACGGUGUUACUAAAAAUACAACGAAAUAGUUGUAGUAAAUAUAAAGAACUUAAACCUCCUCAAGAAGAUUUAAAUAUAGCAAAAGCUCUAAAAGAUAUAAGUAAUAUACCAGAGAUAGAUUCACUGUUCAUCAAACGUGAUGUUUUGGAUAUUGUGACACUACCAAUACUUAUUGAAGUAAAAAAAACACUUAAACAUCCACUUAACAUUACAAAUGUGGAUAAUAAAGUUAGCCUGAAAGAUUUCAAUCUUCAAGAUUCAAGAAAGAAUUUUGAUUUAAUAGAUUUUAUAAAGUCUCGGAAUGUUCGAACUAAAGCUCAUUCAAAAAAACUAACGAAAAUACCAGAUAAAUUAUUGGAGAAUAAACUGGGUGGGUUUAAUAAUUUUGCACCAAUACUGCUGUCUGGCGAUGUUUUUGAUUUUUAAUAGAUAAAUUUGUUUAUAGAACUUUGA